GUGGGGAAUUUUGGACAAUGGGCGCAAGCCUGAUCCAGCCAUGCCGCGUGAGUGAAGAAGGCCUUCGGGUUGUAAAGCUCUUUCGGCGGGGAAGAAAUGGCAACGGCUAAUAUCCGUUGUUGAUGACGGUACCCGCAUAAGAAGCACCGGCUAACUACGUGCCAGCAGCCGCGGUAAUACGUAGGGUGCGAGCGUUAAUCGGACUUACUGGGCGUAAAGCGUGCGCAGGCGGUUGUGUAAGUCAGAUGUGAAAUCCCCGGGCUCAACCUGGGAACUGCAUUUGAGACUGCACGGCUAGAGUGUGACAGAGGGGGGUAGAAUUCCACGUGUAGCAGUGAAAUGCGUAGAGAUGUGGAGGAAUACCGAUGGCGAAGGCAGCCCCCUGGGUUACUACUGACGCUCAUGCACGAAAGCGUGGGGAGCAAACAGGAUUAGAAACCCCUGUAGUCC
rnacentral:rRNA from 1 species